rnacentral:lncRNA from 1 species
CAUUUGCUGACUGGGUGCUAGCUGAAAAGGGGCUCCACAGAGGCUGCAGGUGUCCCAACAGCUGGGCAGAGCAUGGAGACAGGAAAUUCCCAGCAGACCCUCUUCAGAAACUGAGUCUCAAGGGGUCUUGGGGAACUUGGUCAGCAGAUGGCGUGGCUUCAUCUGUCAGCUGGCGGGUCAGCUCAGCGGGACUCCGGUCUUUAGAAGGGAGGCUCAAGUCUUUACUCUGUACCAAGACAGAGAUGCCAGGAAACAAGACAUGCAACCAUUUUCCUUCAUCAAGGGGUGAGGUGGUGCUUGGCAUGAGGCAGAACUGGGCUCUGUCAAUGCCACGCAUCAGGAGGAACCCCUUUUCUGUUUCGAUCCCUCCUGUUCAUGUGUGGUGCCCGUUAGAUCUGGCGUAUACUUUUGUCCUCCAGUGUCUGAGGACAUGGAGAACCCAUCUCCUCAUUUUCCCCCUUGUGGUUGGAUGGGAUCAUGCACCCAGUUCUCGUUGAGACCAAGAUGCUGAGAGACAAAGCAAAUCCGUGGGAUGCCGAGGGCACUUGGAUAACUUCCGCUUGGGAGAGAAGCCCAAACUCCACGUCCUGGAGACCUGAAGUGUGGCUGCCAGUGGACACCCAGCUGAGGGAUGAGUAGGUGGGCCUCAGUGGUGGCUGUGGGGUCCUUGGACACUGCUCACCACUGGCCUCCAGAAGCACUGGAGGCUUUGGGGACCUGCUAGUCCUCCAGCCCUAAAUGCGGCCCUGGAAUGAUGAAGGGAAGUUUGCCAUCUCCAUCCUCCUCAAGCUGCCUGUGCACCCCAGUAGCACCCACCCUCUCUGUGCUCCCGUCUGCACCCCAUGUCCUGGCGCCUGCUUUGUGUUGCACCGGAUGACAGGAACCAGUGCCCUGACUGUGACUUGCUUCUCCCCUCAGGGACAUACAAGCACUUUCACAGCAAGCCUACUUUUCAGCCCUUCUGCAGGCAGGGCCUCCUGCAGGGAUGCUGGAUGCAGAGGCAGGACGAGGAUGCAGGGCCUGGGUCCGGGUGCGGCUCCUCUCACACCUGGUAC